rnacentral:rRNA from 1 species
GUCUGAUCUCAAAUCAGGUA